GUUGGAGACAGAGUCUCGCUAGAGUGCAGUGCAGGCUAGAGUGCAGUGGCAUGAUCAGGGCUCACUGCAGCCUCGAACUCCUGGCCUCAAGUGAUCCUCCUGCCUCAGCCUCCUGAGUAGCUGGGAGUAUAUAUACAUCAAGACACUCAGCUAAGUUUUUAAUGUUUUGUAGAGACGGGGUCUCACUAUGUUGCCCAUGCUGGUCUCAAAUUCCUGAGCUCGUGAUCCUCCUGUCUCAGCCUCUCAAUGUGCUGGGAUUACAGGCUGAGCUACCAUGCCUGGCCACUUUGAUUUUAGUGUCCUUCUCUGGGGUAGUGAAAAGUUGACCACCCUAUAGGAGUCCCCAGUAUCAUUUUGAGACAUUACUGCUCCGUGCAGCCCCAAGCUGGGAAGGUCACACACAGAGUGAGUCUGUGAUGCAUCUUGGAGACAAGGCCCCCAGCCCAGGCGUACCUCUCCUGCUAGCCUCUGCCUGGAAGCUUGGAAGGUGAAAAGGAAGCCCUGAAAGAGAGGUGCAGACCCCAGCCCCCUAAAACCUGGAGGUGGGUCUCAAGAGAAAAGCUU
rnacentral:lncRNA from 1 species